GACGAACGCUGGCGGCGUGCUUAACACAUGCAAGUCGAACGGAAAGGCCCUGCUUUUGUGGGGUGCUCGAGUGGCGAACGGGUGAGUAACACGUGAGUAACCUGCCCUUGACUUUGGGAUAACUUCAGGAAACUGGGGCUAAUACCGGAUAGGAGCUCCUGCUGCAUGGUGGGGGUUGGAAAGUUUCGGCGGGUGGGGAUGGACUCGCGGCUUAUCAGCUUGUUGGUGGGGUAGUGGCUUACCAAGGCUUUGGCGGGUAGCCGGCCUGAGAGGGUGACCGGCCACAUUGGGACUGAGAUACGGCCCAGACUCCUACGGGAGGCAGCAGUGGGGAAUAUUGCACAAUGGGCGGAAGCCUGAUGCAGAAACGCCGCGUGCGGGAUGACGGCCUUCGGGUUGUAAACCGCUUUCGCCUGUGACGAAGCGUGAGUGACGGUAAUGGGUAAAGAAGCACCGGCUAACUACGUG
rnacentral:rRNA from 1 species